GACGAACGCUGGCGGCGUGCUUAACACAUGCAAGUCGAACGGAAAGGCCCUGCUUUUGUGGGGUGCUCGAGUGGCGAACGGGUGAGUAACACGUGAGUAACCUGCCCUUGACUUUGGGAUAACUUCAGGAAACUGGGGCUAAUACCGGAUAGGAGCUCCUGCUGCAUGGUGGGGGUUGGAAAGUUUCGGCGGUUGGGAUGGACUCGCGGCUUAUCAGCUUGUUGGUGGGGUAGUGGCUUACCAAGGCUUUGACGGGUAGCCGGCCUGAGAGGGUGACCGGCCACUUUGGGACUGAGAUACGGCCCAGACUCCUACGGGAGGCAGCAGUGGGGAAUAUUGCACAAUGGGCGGAAGCCUGAUGCAGCAACGCCGCGUGCGGGAUGACGGCCUUCGGGUUGUAAACCGCUUUCGCCUGUGACGAAGCGUGAGUGACGGUAAUGGGUAAAGAAGCACCGGCUAACUACGUG
rnacentral:rRNA from 1 species